rnacentral:lncRNA from 1 species
GGGUCUGUGAUGCUGGGUCUGUGCUGCUGGGGGCGCUUUGCCCACAGCUCCUCUCAGGUUCUGCCAGUAGGGGAGCUGCUGGGAGGCUGCAAAGCUGGAGAAAGGAGGUGGAAGAAGGGACCGGCUUCUUCCUGCCUGUUUCCUGCUCCUGACGCCAUGACUCUGGAAAUGAUCCUGCAUGGUCUCCUAUUUGCCGCAAAUACACCUUACUUUGUGAGACAACUGCUUCUGGCGGAGAGUCUGAUUUAACUCACCUGGAGGGAACCCACUUCGGUUUCAGUAAGAAUACCAGCAACUGACCCUCAGCAGUGGAUUCCAGUACUGGCUGAGGUGGUUCCCCAGGAUCAGCCCCUUAGCUAACAGAAGAAGCAGGAUUAGGCUCACCAUCUGGAUCACUGAGAGAGACUGGAACAGUGAAACGUACAGCACCAGCUUGGGGAAGAGUUGAAGACAAGCCACAAAAAGAGAACUGAACAGUGCUGGUUCCAAACCCGACGUGUGUCAGAAGAGCCCCCAUGCUGUGCUGAAAGCUGACCCACGCACACAGCUUGGGGCAGCUAGGAGCUGCUGUCUCCUUGUACAAUGUCCUUUCACUCAGGACACUGGACACAUCUUUUGAAGCUAAGCAGUCCAAGCUGUGGUGUCAGCAUCGAGGCAGACACCUGACAAGGGCCCGCCGAGGUGGGCGCCCCAUCUCUGCAAACUCCACACCUAGUAAAGUGCACACAGCUGUUACCUGGGAACACUGCAGCCAGGGCGCCACUCUGACCUGCUGUCUCCAUGUGGUUCUUAGGUGUCUUUUCAGGAUACUCCUCUCAAGUCUCCUUGCAAUACAACUCUCCUAAGGCUGUUGCCUGCAAAUGGCCUGAAUUCCUCAUUUCUGCCUUCAAGUUACACAGGGACUCCUCACACCCAGCGGUGGAGAAACUUGUCCAGCAGUGAAUUUAGUGCAAAGCAGUGGGCAGCAGUCCACACGGCAGGACCGGCUCAGAGAGGCUGCGAGGGCAGGAGCCCAGAAGAGCGCAGGUUGCGGCCAGGGAUGAGUGGCCGCGUCCCGCUGGCAGAGAAAGCCCUGUCUGAAGGCCAUGCCCGGCUCCGGUACAGGGACACCUCCCUGCUCAUCUGGCAGCAGCAGCAGCAGAAGCUGGAAUCCGUGCCACCCGGGACAUAUCUGAGCAGGAGCCGAAGCAUGUGGUACUCACAGUAUGGAAACGAGGCCAUCUUAGUCCGGGACAGAAACAAGCUUGAGGUCUCCCGGGACACGGGCCAGUCCAAGUUUUGCACAAUUAUGUAAUUCCAAGAUGAAAACCAGGGCUCUGAGGAAAACAGGCCUGUGUCUCAUUCCGCUGUUUUGUUGCUAUCUGGGCCUCAGUGGGAUAGUCUGAAUAGUGACCGUGAAGACCAAGCUGUGGCCUAAGAACCCGAGAUCCCAGAAAGGGCCCCCCGCGUCCUGCCUCGCAGCAUCCGUGUGAGGGUCCCGCCUCAGCUUCUGAGCAUAGCAGGCCCGGCCCGGCCCGGGGCACUGCUGGAUGCUGCUUAUCUGUCAAGCUUCCAAAUAAAUCAAGCGAGAGGGACACCCUGGUUACAAACAACCUUUUCAUAUUUCUCUAGGUUGUUUUUGGCAUCCACUCCUGCCUGGUAAGGAAUGGGUCAGAUCUAGAAAAAAGUGAGGAAUCGGCAUCGUGUGUGGUCGGAAGUUCACUGCAGGCGGGGGGGGGGGGGGGGGGGGUGGAUGCAACUGAAACGGGCGGCGGCAGAGGCAGCAGCAUUUCCACGGGAACUUUGCUGCACUUGUAUUUUGAGUCUAGUUCCCAAAGCCACCAUCGUGUGGAAUGAGCGCACUGUGGUAGCUUAUAUGCUAGCUUCCAGGUACUUGAGGCUUGCGGGCAAGUGCAUCCAAGAAACAUUCAGGGAACCAAAAAUUACUUUUAAGUCCCACAUCAGUUGCUUACAGCAAUUUCAGAUUUACCAGGUGGCUGAAGAUGGCAGGUUCUCAACUGACAUUGGAGUCCUGCAGCCUCUGGGCUCCACGACCGGCCCACCCCGCCGUCUGCAGGCUUUUAUGUGUGUUGGUCAUUACUGGGCACAGGCAGCCUUGGCCACCUGUGUACGCAGCAUCUAUGAGUCAUUUUAAAAAGCUCUGCCGUCUGCUGUCAUUAAAGUCUGCGUGGCUAUGCAAAUGUGGAAGUAUCUUUUGUCAAGCUGAUUUUUCUUUUCUAAAUAAACAUCCUUUAGGACUCUCCCUCCUUCCUUCCUCUUAUUUUCAUGUUUGUUCAUAAUAUCUUAAUUGGGCUUGCAGUUCUUUUUAUAACAGUAAUAUCUAACGACUGCUAAAAAUCCCAAUACAGAAAUGCAUAAAGCAAAGCAGAAGUCCCUGCCACCCCGGGACCCCCGCUUGGGGCUGCGCGCACAUGCGCAUGCAAUCCCGCGUAAUUCUCAAGGUGCCUGGCACCGUGCACCUGGCUCUGCGGUUUUCUUGCUCAGCUGCACAGAGCGGCGUCUCCAUCAGGCUUGGGCGCCUGACUAGCGGCGCUCCCAGGAGCCCGCAGCGGGCAGAGAUGCUUCCUACUGUUGCCACACACACGGCAUGUCCUCGGCUUCCCUCUGCAUGGUUCUGG